rnacentral:rRNA from 1 species
UACGGAGGGUGCAAGCGUUAUCCGGAUUCACUGGGUUUAAAGGGUGCGUAGGAGGGUAGGUAAGUCAGUGGUGAAAUCUUCGAGCUUAACUCGGAAACUGCCGUUGAUACUAUCUAUCUUGAAUACCGUGGAGGUGAGUGGAAUAUGUCAUGUAGCGGUGAAAUGCUUAGAUAUGACAUAGAACACCAAUUGCGAAGGCAGCUCGCUACACGAAUAUUGACUCUGAGGCCCGAAAGCGUGGGGAGCAAACAGG